rnacentral:rRNA from 1 species
AGCAGCCGCGGUAAUUCCAGCUCCAAUAGCGUAUAUUAAAGUUGUUGCAGUUAAAAAGCUCGUAGUUGAAUUUCGAGAUCAAAUUGUUGGUCGUGCCUCGGUACGUACUGGCAUUAUUGAUUUCUCCCUUCUGAAGAACCACGAUGUCAUUAAUUUGGUGUCGUGGGGAAUCAGGACUGUUACUUUGAAAAAAUUAGAGUGUUUAAAGCAGGCUCACGCUUGAAUACAUUAGCAUGGAAUAAUGAAAUAGGACGUUUGAUUCUAUUUUGUUGGUUUCUAGGAUCGACGUAAUGAUUAAUAGGGAUAGUUGGGGGCAUUAGUAUUCAAUUGUCAGAGGUGAAAUUCUUGGAUUUAUUGAAGACUAACUACUGCGAAAGCAUUUGCCAAGGAUGUUUUCAUUAAUCAAGAACGAAAGUUAGGGGAUCGAAGACGAUCAGAUACCGUCGUAGUCUUAACCAUAAACUAUGCCGACUAG